rnacentral:ncRNA from 1 species
UGCACUUUUAUACAGGUGCCUACAGAUGCAAAUCCGACGUGAUUUCAAUCACGGCCCGGUCAGGGCUUUGGGAUUGC